rnacentral:rRNA from 1 species
UGCCUGACGGCCAUAGCGCCGUGGAACCACCUGAUCCCAUGCCGAACUCAGAAGUGAAACGCGGUAGCGCCGAUGGUAGUGUGGCAUUCGCCAUGCGAGAGUAGGACACUGUCAGGCA